GAGUUUCAUCCUGGCUCAUAUUGAACGCUGGCGGCAGGCCUAACACAUGCAAGUCGAGCGGCAGCGACUUAACUGAACCUUCGGGGAACGUUAAGGGCGGCGAGCGGCGGACGGGUGAGUAAUGCCUGGGAAUAUGCCCUGAUGUGGGGGAUAACUAUUGGAAACGAUAGCUAAUACCGCAUAAUCUCUUCUGAGCAAAGAGGGGGACCUUCGGGCCUCUCGCGUCAGGAUUAGCCCAGGUGGGAUUAGCUUGUUGGUGAGGUAAUGGCUCACCAAGGCGACGAUCCCUAGCUGGUCUGAGAGGAUGAUCAGCCACACUGGAACUGAGACACGGUCCAUACUCCUACGGGAGGCAGCAGUGGGGAAUAUUGCACAAUGGGGGAAACCCUGAUGCAGCCAUGCCGCGUGUGUGAAGAACGCC
rnacentral:rRNA from 1 species